UGUUCUUAUUGUUUGAGGGGGAAAAUGCCAACAUUUGGAUAAUCGAGCACAAGGGCGUUCACAGGAUAUAGGAAGCCAAUGAUAGAAGUUACAACAAAUGAAAAAGGCUAAUACAACUUUUACUUAGUUGAGCACUGGGAGUCGAGCCAUCUAGUAAUAUCAUCAAAGAUAGCAAAAAUUCUGUCAUCAGGUUCCCCUUCAAGAAUGGAGUGAUAACCUCCUUCAUAGAGCUUCAGCGUUUUAUCUUUGCUAGAGGCCUUCUGGUAGAGAAACUGGCUCACCAUAGGAUCUGUCACCUUGUCAGCAGCUCCAUGGAGAAUCAAUAAUGGAGAUGAAACCUAAGACAUCUCAGGAUCAGUUAACUUUGUUGACAUAACACUAAAAGCAAGUGUUGUUUUAGGUAAUAAUGAUGGAAUAUCAGCUUUAUGCAACAAGAUAGAUAAAAGGAUGCCAAAGAAAUUAAACAGAUGAAAACUCACCUUGUCCAGUUUUGCCUCAAUAUCCUCUGUAGCCUUCAGGAGUUCCACGGCAGUUUUUAGUCGCAUUCGAUCGUUGUAACAGAUUACAUUGUACUCUGCCUACAGUAGAAAAGAAGCAAGAUGUUAUCUUAUGAAUAAAUCCUGGCAUACUAUAUUAGAAACCUGUAUCAGAUCACACAAGAAAAUUGCAGUAAUUAAUUUGGGAGCUGUCUAUGUGUGUGUGCUUGCUAUUUUCCUUUCAUAUUAACUUCAAUUUUUGGUGGGAUGUACAUAAGUGCUCAAGCGAAGCAAGUAACAUUGGAGAAUGUAAAGUAGGGAGAGAGAAGUCUUGGUUCAGAACCUAGUAAAAAGAUUUCAUUUUGAGGUUAUGACUGAUCAAGAUGCCAACAAUUAAACAUUAAUUCACAGUCACAAAUCCAAAAGGAAUAUAGGAUGAUUUAGUAAUGGUUUUACUAGUUAUCAAGACGUAUUAGUUGGUUAAAACAGUGUCAAGUGUAUAGGAAGAGAAUGGCUGCUGUAGUGAUGAUCAGACUAUAAUUUAUCUUGGCAUAAAGGCAUAUACAUUCCCGAUUCCUUCAUUUAAGCUGUAAUCAUUAAAAAACCAAAAACAUAUCCAAAAAUCUAAGGAGCACCACACAGCCAAACAUAGGCAUUGUUUCUUCGUAUGUUAGUCGGUGGCUAUGAGGUUCAUUCAGCAAGCAAAUGAAAUUGGUUUAAAUUGCAACACCAUUUAAGUGCUUUCAUCAGAAAGAACAAAGAACAAACCACUUUUCUCGACUUCAGGUCUCUGAAGCCCAGCUCUGCUAGAUCUCUCUGCGGGAGAAGCUUUGCUUUUGGCAUGACUCUGGACAAAAGUAUUAAUGCCUUCAAAACUGGUGGUGGCGGUUUCACAUCCUCUGCAAUCUUGGCAAAAACUCAAGGUUAACAAAAACUUUACCUUACUGCAGAUGAGAAGAUAAAAUGUGCAUGCUGCAAACACCUGUCUAAGAGGUCGACGAAUAAAAUGCAAUAAUAAUCAAAGUGUCAAUUUUAGACGUAUGACGCAUAAGAUAUGCGAGGUGUUCUACGUGAGGUCAGUGCUUGGGUAACAAGUUCUGGUGCAAUUAAUGCUUUUCUACACACUGUCCAGGGUUGUAACUUACUGCAAGACUAAAGCCCUAUCGAGAAAUUCCUGCCUCAUAAAUGUAGUCAUUCAAGUAAGUAAAGAAACCAAUGAACUGUUUUCAUCUGGCUAACUAGUUUGGCAGCUUACACAUUUUGCAAAGUUAAAGUUACCAAUUUGUUCUUCAAGGGACUGAGAAAUAUGCAGCUUGGGAAACAAUGCACAUAUUUGAGUGUAUGUAGCAAUGCAAACGAAUUGAUGAUAAGCUUUUAAUUAAAAAGUAAAGCAUUCACUUAAAGGAUUUCUGAGUUAUGAUCCAGGAUGUGCUUACUCUGCACAUUGCAGCUACAAGUAUUACUCCAUCCCAUGCAUGUGCUUCCUUUAGGUGAACUUUGAGGGCCACAGCUCCACCCAUCGACUGCCCCAGUAAGAAGCAAGGCAAUCCUUUUAAUUCAGGUCUUCCUUUAAUUUUUGCAUAUCGUUCAAUGAUGUUGUCAACCAAUCCGUCAAAGCUUGGGAUGUAACCAUGCAAUCCUUCAGAUAAACCAAAACCAGGAUGGUCCAAAGCAUAAACCACAUAUCCAGCUACAGCAAUUCGCUUUGCAAU
rnacentral:misc_RNA from 1 species